rnacentral:rRNA from 1 species
GACGAACGCUGGCGGCGUGCCUAAUACAUGCAAGUCGAACGAGAGCAACCGGUGCUUGCACUGGUCAAUCUAGUGGCGAACGGGUGAGUAACACGUGGGUAACCUGCCCAUCAGAGGGGGAUAACAUCCGGAAACGGAUGCUAAAACCGCAUAGGUCUUCGAACCGCAUGGUUUGAAGAGGAAAAGAGGCGCAAGCUUCUGCUGAUGGAUGGACCCGCGGUGCAUUAGCUAGUUGGUGAGGUAACGGCUCACCAAGGCCGUGAUGCAUAGCCGGCCUGAGAGGGUGAUCGGCCACAUUGGGACUGAGACACGGCCCAAACUCCUACGGGAGGCAGCAGUAGGGAAUCUUCCGCAAUGGACGCAAGUCUGACGGAGCAACGCCGCGUGAGUGAAGAAGGUUUUCGGAUCGUAAAACCCUGUUGUUAGAGAAGAACAAGUGCUAGAGUAACUGUUAGCGCCUUGACGGUAUCUAACCAGAAAGCCACGGCUAACUACGUG